rnacentral:rRNA from 1 species
GACGAACGCUGGCGGCGUGCUUAACACAUGCAAGUCGAACGGUGAAGCGCCUUCCUUUUUGGUGGGUGUGGAUGAGUGGCGAACGGGUGAGUAACACGUGAGUAACCUGCCCCCUUCUUCUGGAUAACCGCAUGAAAGUGUGGCUAAUACGGGAUAUUCUGGGUCUGUCGCAUGAUGGGUCUGGGAAAGAUAUUGUUUCGGUGGGGGAUGGGCUCGCGGCCUAUCAGCUUGUUGGUGGGGUGAUGGCCUACCAAGGCGGUGACGGGUAGCCGGCCUGAGAGGGUGGACGGUCACACUGGGACGGAGACACGGCGCAGACUCCUACGGGAGGCAGCAGUGGGGAAUAUUGCACAAUGGGCGCAAGCCUGAUGCAGCGACGCCGCGUGAGGGAUGGAGGCCUUCGGGUUGUGAACCUCUUUCGCCAGUGAAGCAGGCCUGCCUCGUUUGUGGGUGGGUUGACGGUAGCUGGAUAAGAAGCGCCGGCUAACUACGUG